rnacentral:rRNA from 1 species
GAUGAACGCUGGCGGCAUGCCUAAUACAUGCAAGUCGAACGAGAGGAAGGAAAGCUUGCUUUCCUGAAUCUAGUGGCGAACGGGUGAGUAACACGUAGGUAACCUGCCCAUGUGCCCGGGAUAACUUCUGGAAACGGAUGCUAAAACCGGAUAGGUAGCAGACAAGCAUUUGACUGCUAUUAAAGUGGCUAAGGCCAUGAACAUGGAUGGACCUGCGGUGCAUUAGCUAGUUGGUGAGGUAACGGCCCACCAAGGCGACGCUGCAUAGCCGGCCUGAGAGGGCGGACGGCCACAUUGGGACUGAGACACGGCCCAAACUCCUACGGGAGGCAGCAGUAGGGAAUUUUCGUCAAUGGGGGGAACCCUGAACGAGCAAUGCCGCGUGAGUGAGGAAGGUCUUCGGAUCGUAAAGCUCUGUUGUAAGAGAAAAACGGCACUCAUAGGGAAUGAUGAGUACGUGAUGGUAUCUUACCAGAAAGUCACGGCUAACUACGUGCCAGCCGCCGCAGUAACAC